ensembl:lncRNA
CUCUUUCUCACUCACAGAUGCAGAGGGUGGCUCUUCACCAGACCUAGCUUCCACACUUCUCUGGGGAACAAAAGGGACAAGAAGUGCUAUUGAUUUAAUUUUUUUUGUGAACUGCACAGGUCACUCUUGAGCAUUCAGAAGCUGUGUGUGGGCAUUCCUGAAGAUAACCACUCAAAGCAAUGCGCAAUUCAGGCAAGGACACCCCCCACAAGACCAAGAUGCUCAAAGUCCCAUCCAGCCUGGCCUUGAACGCUUGCAGAGAGGAGUACCCACAACCUUACUAGGCAAUCUGUUUCGGUGUCUCACUGCUCUCACAGUAAAUAAUUUCUUCCUAUAUCUAUC